AUCGCGUCGCCCCCCAAGCAUCUUGCACUUCCAAGUGCUCGCUUGCUUGAUGGGGAGCGUAUAUUGGCCUCCCGUGCCUUGCCGCGCGGUUGGCUCAAAAUGGAGUCCCCUGUGAAGGACGCACGACAAGUGGUGGUUGAUAAGGCCCUCGCAUUAUGUCAUGCGGAAAUCCUUUACAUGAUUUGACUCAUUGAUAAUUGACCCUGAUGACGCGCCUUCACAAUCACACCCUAGUGGUGCUUGAUGGUGGAGACGUGCUCCGA
rnacentral:misc_RNA from 1 species